UGCAGUCUUGUUUUAUUUAUCAUCAUAUUUCCUCAUUAAGUUUAAUUUUCUUUUUCUUUUCUUUCUUUUUUUGAGAUGGAGUUUCACUCUUGUUGCCCAGGCUGGUGUGCAAUGGCGCGAUCUUGGCUCACCGCAACCUCCGCUUCCCGGGUUCAAGCGAUUCUUCUGCCUCAGCUUCCUGAGUAGCUGGGAUUAAAGACACCCGCCACCACGCCCAGCUAAUUUUGUAUUUUAAGUAGAGACGGGGUUUCACCAUAUUGACCAGGCUGGUCUCAAACUCCCGACCUCAGGUGAUCUGCCCACCUCGGCCUCCCAAAGUGCUGAGAUUACAGGCGUGAGCCACCGUGCCCAGCCAAGUUUAAUUUUUACACCAAUGAUUCAUUUCUGCUUUUACAGCCUUCUUUGGCUUUCUGACAAGAGCAACUGCUGAGCAGAAGCACUUCAGCCUCGUCUGGCAUUUGAUGAAUUUGAUUAAUGUGUGCUAUGGUAAGUCUAUUCCCCUGUAUAAUUUUAUGGGAGAGGCCAUGUGCAAGUCUGAAUUUAAAAAAAAGAAAAGAAAAAGCCUUGUGCAGAAUUAUUACCUACUCAAUACAUUAUAUAUAUGCCAGAGAUGGCUAAAGCAGCUAUAUGUCAAGGUCUGCAAAAACAUGAAGAAGCUGGCAUGGAAAUUAACACGUUGGUGGUCUGCAAUGUGUUCAAAGUUGGUGUUUUUAAUGACACUUAAAAAUAGUUAAAAUAUGUAAUGGCUGAUUUCUGACCAGACUAAACUCUCAGCCUGUCUAAUGUUAGGCAGCUUGAUCUAAUCAAUCUCAUCCUUUUCUUUUCCUCAGUCCAAUCUUGCAAUUGCUAUGUCAGUUUCAGUUCACAAUAAUACCAGUGCAGACAUGGCUCCUUAAGAUUUUCUCCUUUUCCCUCACGCGGGUCCCAAUUCUAAAUUCCCAAGGGCUGACAUGAUUGACAUUUGCCAUAGCCUGAGGAGGGAGCAUUUCCUUUUGUGGUCUUUCCUUGGUUUGUUUUAUUGGGCAGUGAAUGGCAAGUCUGUCUGUG
rnacentral:lncRNA from 10 species